rnacentral:siRNA from 1 species
UAUGGAAAGAGUUGGCCAACUUU